rnacentral:rRNA from 1 species
UGCGCAGCUUAACACAUGCAAGUCGAGCGGAGAUGAGGUGCUUGCACCUUAUCUUAGCGGCGGACGGGUGAGUAAUGCUUAGGAAUCUGCCUAUUAGUGGGGGACAACAUUCCGAAAGGGAUGCUAAUACCGCAUACGUCCUACGGGAGAAAGCAGGGGAUCUUCGGACCUUGCGCUAAUAGAUGAGCCUAAGUCGGAUUAGCUAGUUGGUGGGGUAAAGGCCUACCAAGGCGACGAUCUGUAGCGGGUCUGAGAGGAUGAUCCGCCACACUGGGACUGAGACACGGCCCAGACUCCUACGGGAGGCAGCAGUGGGGAAUAUUGGACAAUGGGGGGAACCCUGAUCCAGCCAUGCCGCGUGUGUGAAGAAGGCCUUAUGGUUGUAAAGCACUUUAAGUGAGGAGGAGGCUACUGAGACUAAUACUCUUGGAUAGUGGACGUUACUCGCAGAAUAAGCACCGGCUAACUCUGUGCCAGCAGCCGCGGUAAUACAGAGGGUGCGAGCGUUAAUCGGAUUUACUGGGCGUAAAGCGUGCGUAGGCGGCUUUUUAAGUCGGAUGUGAAAUCCCCGAGCUUAACUUGGGAAUUGCAUUCGAUACUGGGAAGCUAGAGUAUGGGAGAGGAUGGUAGAACCCAGGUGUAGCGGUGAAAUGCGUAGAGAUCUGGAGGAAUACCGAUGGCGAAGGCAGCCAUCUGGCCUAAUACUGACGCUAAGUACGAGCAG